rnacentral:rRNA from 1 species
UACGUAGGGUGCGAGCGUUGUCCGGAAUUAUUGGGCGUAAAGAGCUCGUAGGCGGCUUGUCGCGUCGGAUGUGAAAGCCCGGGGCUUAACCCCGGGUCUGCAUUCGAUACGGGCAGGCUAGAGUGUGGUAGGGGAGAUCGGAAUUCCUGGUGUAGCGGUGAAAUGCGCAGAUAUCAGGAGGAACACCGGUGGCGAAGGCGGAUCUCUGGGCCAUUACUGACGCUGAGGGGCGAAAGCGUGGGGAGCGAACAGG